AAAAGUCGUAACAAGGUUUCCGUAGGUGAACCUGCGGAAGGAUCAUUAAAUAACGAUAUUUAGCGUGCUUGCACGCCAAAAUACAUACACCCUUGUGAACUGUUGUAAGACACCUUUGGCGGUCUCGCGCCGCCACUGGUAACCAAACACAUAAAACCAUUUGAACCACACAGACUGAAUAUAUAAAUCACAAAUUAUAUACAACUUUUAACAAUGGAUCUCUUGGCUCUU
rnacentral:misc_RNA from 1 species